rnacentral:rRNA from 1 species
CCUACGGGAGGCUGCAGUGAGGAAUAUUGGUCAAUGGACGAGAGUCUGAACCAGCCAAGUAGCGUGAAGGAUGACUGCCCUAUGGGUUGUAAACUUCUUUUAUCAGGGAAUAAAACGAGGCACGUGUGCCUUUUUGCAUGUACUUUAUGAAUAAGGAUCGGCUAACUCCGUGCCAGCAGCCGCGGUAAUACGGAGGAUCCGAGCGUUAUCCGGAUUUAUUGGGUUUAAAGGGAGCGUAGAUGGGUUGUUAAGUCAGUGGUGAAAGGUUGCGGCUCAACCGUAAAAUUGCAAUUGAUACUGGCAGUCUUGAGUACAGUUGAGGUAGGCGGAAUUCGCGGUGUAGCGGUGAAAUGCUUAGAUAUCACGAAGAACCCCGAUUGCGAAGGCAGCUUACUAACCUGUGACUGACAUUGAUGCUCGAAAGUGUGGGUAUCAAACAGGAUUAGAUACCCCAGUAGUC